rnacentral:rRNA from 1 species
CCAAUAGCGUAUAUUAAAGUUGUUGCAGUUAAAAAGCUCGUAGUUGAAUUUCGGGGUCAGUAGGUUGGUCGUGCCACUGGUACGUACUGGUCUCACUGAUUCCUCCUUCCUGAUGAACCGUAAUGCCAUUAAUUUGGUGUUGCGGGGAAUCUGGACUGUUACUUUGAAAAAAUUAGAGUGUUUAAAGCAGGCUAACGCUUGAAUACAUUAGCAUGGAAUAAUGAAAUAGGACGUUCGAUCCUAUUUUGUUGGUUUCUAGGAUUGACGUAAUGAUUAAUAGGGAUAGUUGGGGGCAUUAGUAUUCAAUUGUCAGAGGUGAAAUUCUUGGAUUUAUUGAAGACUAACUACUGCGAAAGCAUUUGCCAAGGAUGUUUUCAUUAAUCAAGAACGAAAGUUAGGGGAUCGAAGACGAUCAGAUACCGUCGUAGUCUUAACCAUAAACUAUGCCGACUAGGGAUCGGAGGAUGUUAAUUUUUUAAUGACUCAUUCGGCGCCUUACG